rnacentral:sRNA from 1 species
GAAGCAGUGAAGGAGUGCAGAGGCAUCACCUGAAAGGGAUCACUGAGAUUCUGAUGAACAGACCUUCUGCCCGCAAUGCCUUGGGGAAUGUCUUCGUCAGUGAGGUAAGAAAGGGCGGGCGCCAGGGUGGGCUGGGGAUGGGCUGGCACUAUCUAACUGGGUGUCCUCUGUAGCUGCUGGAAACUCUGGCCCAGCUGCGGGAGGACCGGCAAGUGCGUGUCCUGCUCUUCAGAAGUGGAGUGAAGGGCGUGUUCUGUGCAGGUGCAGACCUGAAGGAGCGGGAACAGAUGAGUGAAGCAGAGGUGGGGGUGUUUGUCCAGCGACUCCGGGGCCUGAUGAAUGACAUCGCAGCCUUCCCUGCACCCACCAUUGCGGCUAUGGAUGGGUUUGCCUUGGGCGGAGGCCUAGAGCUUGCCCUGGCCUGUGACCUCCGAGUGGCAGCUUCCUCGGCCGUCAUGGGACUGAUUGAGACCACGCGAGGGCUCCUCCCGGGGGCAGGAGGGACUCAGAGGCUGCCCCGUUGUCUGGGGGUGGCCCUGGCGAAGGAGCUCAUCUUCACGGGCCGACGACUGAGUGGAACUGAGGCCCAUGUACUGGGGCUGGUGAAUCACGCUGUGGCCCAGAACGAGGAGGGGGACGCCGCCUACCAGCGGGCACGAGCACUGGCCCAGGAGAUCCUGCCCCAGGCCCCCAUUGCCGUGCGGCUGGGCAAAGUAGCCAUUGACCGAGGAAUGGAGGUGGACAUUGCAUCCGGGAUGGCCAUUGAAGGGAUGUGCUAUGCCCAGAAUAUUCCAACCCGGGACCGGCUAGAGGGCAUGGCAGCCUUCAGGGAGAA